AUGUAUAGAAACUGGUCAUGGUCUACAUGCAAUCCAGCUGCUCAGGACUGUGCAUCACUGCACAGAGUGCAAAAAUUUUAUGGAUUGUUUUCUUGCUCAUCAUUUAAUGAGAAGCAAAAUAUUCUUCAAACUGCCACAGAAGAAAAUAAUACAUACAAAAGGAUGGAGAAGGAAAUAGAACAGCACAUGCUAUAAAUUGAAUAAAAUAAAUACAAGAGUGAAACGCUGUUGGAAGGUGGGAGAAGGCCUUAGCUGAGUUGAAACUAAAGCAAAAAAAAAAAAAAAAAAAAAAAAAGGACAUGCACCAUGGAAAUCUGGAUCCACAGAAGGUAGUUUUCAUGGCAGCUUUAUUUUUGUGAGUUUCUAACAACCUUAUUUAGGUAACAACCUUAUUUAAUCUGAUUGUGAAUAAGGAGAGAAGAGGGACUGCCAUGAGUGCUAGCGCGUGAUCUAAGAUCCAGCUUUCUUUAUUACUUGCAUUAUCACAAUGGACCAUCAUUGGCCUGAAUUGCUAACAUCCUUAUUGGAAUGAUAAGGCUAAAAUUGUUCUACCUGUCACUCACUGAUGCGUGAAUUGACAAUCAAAUGAUUGAUCAAUUUCUCCGUGCUUCAAUAGCUACUUUCAUCCUGAUUUGCUGUAUAAAAUGGUGCAGUUUCAG
rnacentral:lncRNA from 1 species